rnacentral:rRNA from 1 species
AGACAGAGAUGUUUAUUUCUUCGGACUACUUACAAGGUGCUGCAUGGUUGUCGUCAGCUCGUGCCGUGAGGUGUCAGGUUAAGUCCUAUAACGAGCGCAACCCCUGUCGUUAGUUGCCAGCAAGUAAAGUUGGGGACUCUAACGAGACUGCCGGUGCAAACCGCGAGGAAGUGGGGAUGACGUCAAAUCAUCACGGCCCUUACGUCCAGGGCUACACACGUGUUACAAUGGUCGGUACAGAGGGCAGCUACCUGGUGACAGGAUGCUAAUCUCGAAAACCGGUCUCAGUUCGGAUCGAAGUCUGCAACUCGACUUCGUGAAGCUGGAUUCGCUAGUAAUCGCGCAUCAGCUAUGGCGCGGUGAAUACGUUCCCGGGCCUU